UACGAGAGGCCCAAACGUUAUUCGGAAUCACUGGGCUUAAAGGGCGCGUAGGCGGGCAUCCAAGUCUGUGGUGAAAUCCGGCAGCUUAACUGUCGAACUGCCGUGGAUACUGGGUGUCUCGAGGGAGGUAGGGGCGUGCGGAACUAUUGGUGGAGCGGUGAAAUGCGUUGAUAUCAAUAGGAACUCCGGUGGCGAAGGCGGCACGCUGGACCUCUUCUGACGCUGAGGCGCGAAAGCCAGGGGAGCAAACGGG
rnacentral:rRNA from 1 species